GUGGGCCGCAGUUAAUUUGAAAACCUUUGUUGAAGACAUAAAAGCAGGGACAUCUGUUACAAACGGGUAUUUUGUUGCUUGCAGGAAAGGAUCCUAAAAGGACAGACGCAAGCAUGUCUGCUAACCUGGAUUUAAUCUGCUUUCGCAACUGUUCUUUUGGCUUUAUAGUAGCACAAGCAGCCGAAGAUCUCCUGUUGGAGUCAGUGCUUUCCCAAAGGGAUCCCAUCUUCCUGUCAUUCAGGCUUCCUGUGAGAGGCCCUGGCGUGCCCAGUGUACUCACCUCUCUGAGCACUGGCACUGUGCAUGUUACUGAGGAUGAUUGUUCUUGGGAAGAAUCCAGUCUGCAGUUACACGGGAACAGUGAUGGAAAAGCAUGUGGUGGUUCAUGGGAUGCAGGUGACACAGCUGCUUCUUGUUGCGAGAAGCGAAAGCAUGACAAACAUGGAAGUUGGUGACUCUUACCCUAGUUCCCUUGGAGGGAGCAUGGUGUUCAACUCUCC
ensembl:lncRNA